UACGGAGGGUGCAAGCGUUAUCCGGAAUCACUGGGUUUAAAGGGUGCGUAGGCGGUGGCGUAAGUCAGUUGUGAAAUUCCCCGGCUUAACCGGCGGGACUGCGAUUGAUACUGCGUUACUUGAAUCAGGUUGAGGUAGGCGGAAUGUGACAUGUAGCGGUGAAAUGCUUAGAUAUGUCAUAGAACACCGAUUGCGAAGGCAGCUUGCUGGACCUGUAUUGGCGCUGAGGCACGAAAGCGUGGGGAGCAAACAGG
rnacentral:rRNA from 1 species